CACGGGGGGAACUAGCGUUGUUCGGAUUUACUGGGCGUAAAGGGUGCGUAGGCGGGUUGGCAAGUCGGGUGUGAAAUUCCAGGGCUUAACCCUGGGUCUGCAUUCGAAACUGUCGGUCUUGAGUACUGGAGAGGUGAGUGGAAUUCUCGGUGUAGCGGUGAAAUGCGUAGAUAUCGAGAGGAACACCGUUGGCGAAGGCGGCUCACUGGACAGAUACUGACGCUGAGGCACGAAGGUCGGGGGAGCAAACAGG
rnacentral:rRNA from 1 species